AGAACGAACGCUGGCGGCAGGCCUAACACAUGCAAGUCGAACGCGACCUUCGGGUCGAGUGGCGCACGGGUGAGUAACGCGUGGGAAUCUGCCCUGUGGUACGGAAUAACAUCGGGAAACUGAUGCUAAUACCGUAUAUCCCCUGAGGGGGAAAGAUUUAUCGCCAUGGGAGGAGCCCGCGUAGGAUUAGCUAGUUGGUGAGGUAACGGCUCACCAAGGCGACGAUCCUUAGCUGGUCUGAGAGGAUGAUCAGCCACACUGGGACUGAGAUACGGCCCAGACUCCUACGGGGGGCAGCAAUUAGGAAUCUUGCGCAAUGGGCGAAAGCCUGACGCAGCGACGUCGCGUGAAGGAUGAAAUCUUUCGGGAUGUAAACUUCUUUUUCGGGGAAGAACAAUGACGGUACCGGAGAAUAGCCCGGCUAACUACGUGCCAGCAGCCGC
rnacentral:rRNA from 1 species